GUCAUGAUUUGGUUUACCGUUAUGAAACAUCUGUGUCGCAAAGGACCAUGGGUCUGUUUCCCUUGUCGAAACCAUAAUCCCGUCCUCUUUUCCACGUUUGUGACAUUAGGGAGCUACAUGUACCAUUUGAUUUUUAUUUAGGGCGGGUGGCUAGGAUCAAAUUUGAAAAAAAGGCAGUACAGGGGUUUUGAGUGAAAGGCAGGAUGAAUAACUUUGCACAAAAAAGGGAGGAUGACAAUUUAUGUAAAACAGUCAGGAUAAACUAAUAAAAAAAGGGCAGGACCGAAAAGAGUGAAAAAUAAAAAGGCAGGAUAGAGAUUACAACUAAAUGGUAGCUCCCUUAUCAACUGCGACUUAUUGUUGAUUAUUUACCUACAUGAACAACACGACGG
rnacentral:lncRNA from 1 species